rnacentral:rRNA from 1 species
GAUGAACGCUAGCGAUAGGCUUAACACAUGCAAGUCGAGGGGCAGCAUGGUCUUAGCUUGCUAAGACUGAUGGCGACCGGCGCACGGGUGCGUAACGCGUAUGCAACUUGCCUCACAGAGGGGGAUAACCCGUCGAAAGACGGACUAAUACCGCGUACACUCUAUUUUGGGCAUCCCAGGGAGAGGAAAUGAAAUUCGCUGUGAGAUAGGCAUGCGUCCCAUUAGCUAGUUGGUGAGGUAACGGCUCACCAAGGCGACGAUGGGUAGGGGAACUGAGAGGUUGAACCCCCACACUGGUACUGAGACACGGACCAGACUCCUACGGGAGGCAGCAGUGAGGAAUAUUGGUCAAUGGGCGAGAGCCUGAACCAGCCAAGUCGCGUGAAGGAUGACUGUCUUAUGGAUUGUAAACUUCUUUUGUAGGGGAAUAAAGAGGGGCACGUGUGCCCCAGUGAAUGUACCCUACGAAUAAGCAUCGGCUAACUCCGUG